AAAGAUUACACAAGGGAGAUUUGUAUUUGUAAAUUUAUAUUUGAACAAAAAUAUUGCUACCCAACCGUGGAAGUUGGCAGAACCGGCGAUGCAUCAUUCCUGAUCAGUGUGAUAUCGGCUGGUCAUAUAGUGCAAUUUUCUAAGCAAUUAUAGAAGCCGAACCACAGAGGUAGAGAGCCCAAAACUUUGAUUCCAUAUGGGUUUCUGUACAAAAGCCACAUAAAUUAAUUGAACUUCUUUU
rnacentral:lncRNA from 1 species